ACGGGUGAGUAACACGUGAGUAAUCUGCCCUUGGCUUUGGGAUAACUACCGGAAACGGUGGCUAAUACCGGAUACGACACAGGUGUGCAUGCGCUCUGUGUGGAAAGUUUUUUCGGCCAGGGAUGUGCUCGCGGCCUAUCAGCUUGUUGGUGGGGUAAUGGCCUACCAAGGCUUCGACGGGUAGCCGGCCUGAGAGGGUGACCGGCCACACUGGGACUGAGACACGGCCCAGACUCCUACGGGAGGCAGCAGUGGGGAAUAUUGGACAAUGGGCGGAAGCCUGAUCCAGCAACGCCGCGUGAGGGAUGACGGCCUUCGGGUUGUAAACCUCUUUCAGUACCGACGAAGCGCCGAUGAUGGUGGUGACGGUAGGUACAGAAGAAGCACCGGCCAACUACGUGCCAGCAGCCGCGGUAAUACGUAGGGUGCGAGCGUUGUCCGGAAUUAUUGGGCGUAAAGGGCUCGUAGGCGGUUUGUCGCGUCGGGAGUGAAAACCCAGGGCUUAACUCUGGGCUUGCUUUCGAUACGGGCAGACUAGAGGUAUGCAGGGGAGAACGGAAUUCCUGGUGUAGCGGUGAAAUGCGCAGA
rnacentral:rRNA from 2 species